CCUACGGGGGGCUGCAGUGGGGAAUAUUGGACAAUGGGCGAAAGCCUGAUCCAGCCAUGCCGCGUGUGUGAAGAAGGCCUUCGGGUUGUAAAGCACUUUCAGUGGGGAAGAAAGCCUUGGGGCUAAUACCCUCGAGGAAGGACAUCACCCACAGAAGAAGCACCGGCUAACUCCGUGCCAGCAGCCGCGGUAAUACGGAGGGUGCGAGCGUUAAUCGGAAUUACUGGGCGUAAAGCGCGCGUAGGCGGUCUGAUAAGCCGGUUGGGAAAGCCCCGGGCUCAACCUGGGAACGGCAUCCGGAACUGUCAGGCUAGAGUGUAGGAGAGGAAGGUAGAAUUCCCGGUGUAGCGGUGAAAUGCGUAGAGAUCGGGAGGAAUACCAGUGGCGAAGGCGGCCUUCUGGACUGACACUGACGCUGAGGUGCGAAAGCGUGGGUAGCAAACAGGAUUAGAUACCCCGGUAGUC
rnacentral:rRNA from 1 species